rnacentral:lncRNA from 1 species
UUCAUUAUAAUUUUGUAGGUAUAUAGAUGUGGAAUUUCCCUGUGCCAUACCUGAGGGAUGUGCAGUUUCAAAUCUGGGUAGAACCAGGGAAAAGGAGGAAUGCACUGCUUCCAGAAGAAAAAAACAACAACAACAACGACACAGGCUUUUUGGACACUUCCCUCUAUGUUCUUGUUUUACUUAGAUUACUGUUUUUCCAGGGGAAAGAGGAAUUCCUUGGAGUCAGUUGUUUUUUUUUCAUUAGUUGUUUGUAUGCAGGAGUGGGUACAACUGUAGACAAUGAUUUUAUUUUUGUUAUAGAGCUUUAUAAUGUAUGUGGGCUAUCCAUUUAUACGUAUAUACACAAACAUGUAUGCAUACAUAUGCUGUCUUUUUAUGUUCACUUUUUACUAUACAUGAUUACACAUUUUUGCGUAUAAAAUAUUAUUUCCACUUGAUCAGUGAGAUAUUAAUAAAAUCUGAAACAGGAAAUGAGUGUAUGUAUAA